UAGCUGUAAACGAUACUCGCUAGGUGUCGGCCACGGUGCGACCGUUGUCGGUGCCGUAGGGAAGCCGUGAAGCGAGCCACCUGGGAAGUACGGCCGCAAGGCUGAAACUUAAAGGAAUUGGCGGGGGGAGCACCACAACGGGUGGAGCUUGCGGUUUAAUUGGAUCCAACGCCGGAAAUCUUACCGGGACCGACAGCAACAUGAAGGCCAGGCUGAAGACUUUGCCGGAUUAGCUGAGAGGAGGUGCAUGGCGUAGUCGUGU
rnacentral:rRNA from 1 species